rnacentral:rRNA from 1 species
UACGUAGGGGGCGAGCGUUGUCCGGAAUUACUGGGCGUAAAGGGCGUGUAGGCGGCUACCCAAGUCUCUUGUGAAAUCCCGGGGCUCAACUUCGGGCGUGCAGGGGAAACUGGUAGGCUUGAGUGCAGAAGAGGGAAGCGGAAUUCCCAGUGUAGCGGUGAAAUGCGUAGAUAUUGGGAAGAACACCAGUGGCGAAGGCGGCUUUCUGGUCUGCAACUGACGCUGAGGCGCGAAAGCUAGGGGAGCGAAC